rfam:Lactobacillus florum 8D Contig00037, whole genome shotgun sequence.
UGGGUAUUAGCCAAACUGGUAAGGCAGCGGACUCUGAAUCCGUAAUGUACUGGUUCGAGUCCAGUAUACCCAA